GCAGAGACAUCAGUGAGCCAAAGGCGAUACUGACUGAGCGAUACAGCAGUUUCGCAUGGAAGAAUCUCACACAGCCAAAUGAAUUCAGCAAUUAUCCUGACAUCCUGCUAACAUGCUACAACCUUACAACCCCAGAUUUGUUGAAGGCUGGUAAUGGGUUAAGAAGAAACCUUUCGCUGCUGUUCUGGUGUGUCCUAGAUGCCAGCUGAGGACCAACAUGAUGUGUUUCUCAUGUAUGUGAAUCCCCAUCAGGACCAUCUGCCAGUGCUUGGACAUGAGCCAUUACGGAAGGUGAUAUAAAAUCCGAUGUCA